GAUGAACGCUGGCGGCGUGCCUAAUACAUGCAAGUCGAGCGAACAGACGAGGAGCUUGCUCUCCUGACGUUAGCGGCGGACGGGCGAGUAACACGUGGAUAACCUACCUCUAAGACUGGGAUAACUUCGGGAAACCGGAGAUACUACUGGAUAAUAUAUUCAACCGGAUGGUUCAAUAGUGAAAGACGGUUUUCCCGUCACUUUUAGCUGGAUUCGCGCCGCAUUAGCUAGUUGGUAAGGUAACGGCUUACCAAGGCAACGAUGCGUAGCCGACCUGAGAGGGUGAUCAGCCACACUGGAACUGAGACACGGUCCAGACUCCUACGGGAGGCAGCAGUAGGGAAUCUUCCGCAAUGGGCGAAAGCCUGACGGAGCAACGCCGCGUGAGUGAUGAAGGUCUUCGGAUCGUAAAGCUCUGUUAUUAGGGAAGAACAAAUGUGUAAGUAACUAUGCACGUCUUGACGGUACCUAAUCAGAAAGCCACGGCUAACUACGUG
rnacentral:rRNA from 1 species